AUUGAACGCUGGCGGCAUGCCUUACACAUGCAAGUCGAACGGUAACGGGCCUUCGGGUGCCGACGAGUGGCGAACGGGUGAGUAAUGCAUCGGAACGUACCUUUCAGUGGGGGAUAACGUAGCGAAAGUUACGCUAAUACCGCAUAUUCUGUGAGCAGGAAAGCAGGGGAUCGCAAGACCUUGCGCUGAUUGAGCGGCCGAUGUCAGAUUAGCUAGUUGGUGAGGUAAAGGCUCACCAAGGCGACGAUCUGUAGCGGGUCUGAGAGGAUGAUCCGCCACACUGGAACUGAGACACGGUCCAGACUCCUACGGGAGGCAGCAGUGGGGAAUUUUGGACAAUGGGGGGCAACCCUGAUCCAGCCAUGCCGCGUGAGUGAAGAAGGCCUUCGGGUUGUU
rnacentral:rRNA from 1 species